AAAUAGCCCUGAUUGAAGUGAAAAUCCUUUUUUGUUUUUUCUUUAAAAACAAAAAAGAUUGUAACGAAAAGCAGGAAUAGCU
rnacentral:sRNA from 1 species